CCUUCCUGUGCUGAUCAAACUGCAUGUGGACUUGUAUCAAACUUUUUCAAACAACCAUAGACCAGUGCUGUUUAUUCUUAAAGGCACUCAUAAAAAGGCGGUCAACCAAAUAAAAGAUCCACAGGCAGUGCUGGUUCCCUGCCCAAAUCAACAAACUGCACUGGUAACUUUAUGCUCUCACAAACUGAAGAUCUGUAUGCCAGUAGUUAUACAAAAGGAGUUCUGUUCAAGGGACCUACAAUAUCCAGAGCAACCCUUUCCAGUGGAGCACCAACAAUAUAUUGGUUCAAUGGAGCCUUAGGAGUGCAGGUUGGUGGAUUGCUUGAUUGACAUCGUUGACAUUCCAGACAAAACUGUUUUAUUUCCAACCCAGUAAAACCUCUGUCUGACUUAGGCUAAAGUUCUGUUCACUCCUAAGUGUCCAUCUGUAGGGUCACUAUGCAACAUCGUUAGGACCUGAGGUAUAUAUUUUUCAGCUUCUUGAGAGAAAAAUGACGCAGCUCGUCAUCCCUUGAGAAUGGGGUAGCAUCAUGCGCCACCUGCAUUCCUACCCUUCCAUGUUUCUGAAAUAUUGUGUGCUUCCUACUAUUUUGGAAGGCUUCAAAUUCAAGAGCGAGUUGGACAGCAUCUUCAACAAAUUUUGAUUUACCUUGGUGGACAGUCCAUUCAAUUUCAUAUUUAUUCAGUGAAUCUAUAAAACAGUCACGAGCCAACUGUUCUCGGACUUCAGAUGAUGCAUCUUGAUAUGCAUAUCUAACUAACUUUUUAAUUUCAUGAGAAAGAUUUCUUCAGAUCCUUAGCAAUCAUCUCACCAACACACUCAGCAGUACGCGCUCGACCCUGAGGGCUGUGAGAUGGAGACUGAGCCAUUCCCUGGGCUGCAGGUUGGGUGGACCAUGACCAUGCGUCCAUGGCCGAAUGUGAACAUACGCCUUCCAUAGGCGGCUUAUCCAUGCAGGACUGUUGAGCGGACUUACCUGCCGUCUCACCUGAUGGGAUCCUAGAAUAAUUAUUCUUCUCCGAACAUACCUGACCAUUUAUGACAGUAUUGAACUUAGGCCUAUGAGAAAAACAUGAUUUCAUCUGACAUAAUGAAAUGUCAGGAUCAACGGAAGCAGCCUCAACUAAAUUAUCAGUAGUCCCAAGUUCGUAUGAACGGGCACGUCUAUUAGUAGUACCCAGACCACCCGAGAGUAUCCUAUUGUUAACUGACGGUGGGCCCUGGUCGUCAGAAAACGAUACAAGUGAAUUCCGUCCGGAAUCGCAUCUCCGUGGCCCUUUAGUACCAAUUAUGGUUUCCAAAAUGUUCACCCUUUCCACCACGUAGUACUCAUCUCGCUGAUCUGACCUCAAAAUGAAUGCUCUUCAGGCAUUCCUACAAAGAAUUACUAUAAUUUGUACUGACUCCAGACAUCAAUGUUCUGGAACACUGUGUAGAUUCAGAUUGCUCAUUUCUCUCAAAUGUGUUAUAUUUUACAUUAAAUCAAUAAAUGGUACUUCUCCAUUAGGAGUGGCAUCAAAUUUUUUUUUUAACCAGACUUGAUUCAUUACUUUGGCCAUCUGGGAGUUGAGUCUGCAGAACGUCCGCUAAUACUGCUGUGCCCUCACCUGCCCCUGACUAACCAACACAGAAUUUAUUAAGUAACAUCAUUUGGUCAUUUUCUUCUGUUGUUUCCAUGUCAUAAAAUUAUGACAACAUCAAAAUAGUGUAUGAAAUUGAGAUGAUCAAGGAAUUCUCUGGUAAUGAAAUGAUCAAGGAUUUUCAUCCCACCGCUGCCACCAAAUUUCUGUAACGUGCCCGAGGUAUGAGGCUUUUUAUAAUUGAUCAAACCUCCAAUUAAGGAGAUAUAUUUCAUUGUAACCAAUAUAUAUGGUAUUUCCUGGUAAUUUGUUAAUUAGUAAUCCUGGUUGAUUUGGUAAGAUAAAUCCCUGUGUUGGUCAGUAAAAUAUUGCAUUGCAGAGGCAAACAAGAGCACAACAUAAGAUAAUUAAAGUUUCAGCAAUAAUUUAAUGAAGGAAUAACUGUAAUACAGAUGACUGGAUAACCAAAUAAACAAUGGUGAUGUAAUACAUUUGGUCAGAUUGGACGUCACAUAUUAUGAUUUGGUCAUGCUAUUAUGAUUUGGUAACGUUAUUAUGAUUUGGUAAAAUGAUGACUGUUGAUUUUCCUUAAUAAUUCAAUUUGGUCAAAUGUAAACAAUGGUAAAUCUUCGUAGAGACUGUUGAAUUCCUUAAUAAACCUAUUUGGUCAAUAUAAUCUAUAGUAAAAACUCCCCAUUCGUUAGUUAUAUCAGUAUUUACGUACAAUUUCUAUGAAAGUUGUUGCGCAGACGCUCUGCAGAGUCAAACUGAAACCUCAGCAUCCGUGGCGACGCUUAUAUAGGGUAAACUACCGGACAUGCGCAGUGCGCUUUACCUAACCAAAAUGAAAGUGUAGACCAAAAUGGCAGACGAUACUAACAACAUCGCCGAAGUGGGACAAACCAUGAAAAAUACGAACAAUGUGACGCCGAAUCGUAAAACAAAUACAUAGUAAUAAA